UGAAUUUUGGCACAAGGAAUGCGUGGAAGGCAGGCGGGCCCCUUCAGAGAGCUUUGUUUUUCUUCCUUGCUGGCCAUCAAAUGCAGAACUCAAGCUGUUUUGCAUCUGACCCUGGCCAUCUGCAGGGCAGACUCUCCAACCAGAUUCCUUUUCAUGGAGAGGAGGGGGCUAUUGAAAACAUAUCUUUAUUAAAAAAAAAAAAAGUCAAAACUAGCAAUCUCUCUGCUGCUACGGGUGUGUGUGUGUGUGUGUGUGUGUGUGUCUGUGUGUGUGUGCUCUUGACAGAUGUGUGGAAGCGACAGAAGGUAAUUAUGCUGUAAGCAGGGAGUGAGCUGGGGCCUGUGGUCCAUAGCUGGGUUGACUUUGGGUUUGAGUGAUUUGAAGAUACUCAGCCUCAAGGAAGAAUUGAGAAGAUGGCUCAGUGAAUAAAGCAUCUACCAUUCAAGAGGGAGGACUUCAGUUCAGACACAGAGAACACACUUAGAGCCAGAAGCAACAGAGUAUACCUUUUAUUCCAGUGCUUCUAGGGGGAAAUGGGAGCUAGAGGCAGGAGAGUGCCUGUAUGCUUGUGGGGCAGCUAGCUUGGUAUAUGCAGUAGUGGACAAGAGACCCUGCCUCAAACAAGGAGGCAGGUGAAGACCAAGACCCAAGGUUGCCCUCUGACCUCCACGUGUGUGCCAUGGCAAAUGCACAUAUCUAUACCUUCACUCAUACACAAGAAGUUAUGCACACCCUGACCCUCCACAGAGAAGAGAGAAGAGAGAGAGAGAGACAGACACAGACAGAGACAGAGACACAGACACAGACACAGACAGAGACAGAGACAGAGACACAGACAGAGACACAGACACAGACAGAGACAGAGACAGAGACAGAGACACAGACACAGACACAGACAGAGACAGAGACACAGACACAGACACAGACACAGACACAGACACAGACAGAGACACAGACACAGACAGAGACACAGACACAGACACAGACAGAGACAGAGACAGAGACACAGACACAGACAGAGACACAGACACAGACAGAGACAGAGACACAGACAGAGACAGAGACACAGACAGAGACACAGACACAAACACAGAUAUUUUGGAAAGAUGCCUCAGGCUCGUCAUACCCAUUGUAUUAGUUGUUGUUUUUUAAAAUUGUUAUGACAAAAUACUUGGCAAAAGCAAUUCAAGAAAUGAAAGUUUGGGACUGGAGAGACGACUCAGUGGUUAACAGCACUCUCUGUUCUCCCAGAAGACCUGGGUUUGAUUCCUACCACCUCUAUAGUUGCUUACAACCAUCUGUAAACCUAAUUUUAGGGGAUCUGAAACCUUCUUCUGACCUCUGUAGGUACCAGGUAUGGAAGUGUGGGAUAGACAUUCAUGUGGCAAAAACACUCAUACACCUACAGAGGUCAGAAGAAGGUAUCAGAUCCCCUAAAACUACAGUUAUGAAGUAGCAAUGAAAAUAACUAUGCUUGGGGGUCAUCACAACAUGAGGAACUGCAUUAAUGGGUUGCAGCAUUAGGAAGGUUGAGAAGGGUGGCUAUAAAGGCUAUAGCUAUACCUUCUAUAGGUAUACCCGGCUGUUCU
rnacentral:lncRNA from 1 species